AGUGAACGCUGGCGGUAGGCCUAACACAUGCAAGUCGAACGGCAGCACAGUACUAGCUUGCUCUUACGGGUGGCGAGUGGCGGAUGGGUGAGGAAUACACCGGACUCUACUUUUUCGUGGGGGUUAACGUCUGGAUACUUACGCUAAUACCGCCUACGACCUACGGGUGAAAGCAGGAGUUCUUUGGAUCUUGCGCGAUUGCAUGAGCUGAUGUCGUUUUAGUUAGUUGGCGGGGUAAAGGCCCACCAACGCGACGAUCGGUAGCUGGUCUGAGAGGCUGAACAGCCACACUGGGAGUGAGACACGGUCCUGACUCCUACGGGAGGCAGCAGUGGGGAAUAUUGGACGAUGGGGGGAAUCCUGAUCCAGCCAUACCGCGUGGAUGAAGAAGGCCUGCGGGUGGGAUAGCCCUUUUGUGGGGAAAGAAAAGCAGCGGGUUAAAACCCCGCUGUUCUGACGGUACCCAGAUAAUAAGCACCGGCUAACUUCGUG
rnacentral:rRNA from 1 species